GUCAAACAACAAUUCUAGUUAUUAAUUAAACGCAUAACUUAGAAAUACAAAAUAACAUGUUUUAUACUAUUAUUUUUGAAGAAAAAUUCAUAAUUAAAACAUUUCUACAAGGUUCAACACCCAUGCACAUUUGUCUGAUCCCAGACUUGCUUAAAUGAGUCCUAAUAUCGGGCUUCGUUGCAAGUCUGGCCCAAUUCAUGCUAUGUCCCAAACCAUUAUACCAUAUAAUAAUAAUGUCCAUUACAAGAGGAAAAAAGGGUCCAACUGCUAUAACCCAAUAGAUAAAUUAAACGAAAAUUGAAUUUAAAAAUCAUUAUAACUCUCCAUUUCUUCUACUGAAAGUUCACAAAUUUACAUAAUUUUCCUGAUUACAGUUAUAUAUCUAGAAAAAAAGGUUAAGGCCAAGAGCCAACUUUCUUCAUAAUUUGGAGUCUCCCAACUAUUACAAAAUCUUUCAAAAAGAUACCUUCAACCAGCAAGAAAUCAACUAUAGAGCAGUUUCUUUCUGACUAGCACUUAAUUCCAACUCUGAAGCUUUUUACUGCUCAUCAAGCUUUUGUUUCAGCCUAGACUUUCAUUAACCAUGCGAAAAGGUCGGACUCACAAAAAUAUCUUCAAAUGUAUGGACCUACAGUAUUAUCAAAUAUAUCUUAAAUAACCUAAUGCAAGAAUGAUUAAAAGGAAAACCAAUAUCGUUCAUGAGUCUGAUCAUGUUUAAGGUCUGCCUCAUGAACAAACAAAGACUUCUAAACCAAGAUCUUACUCUAAGUUCUCAUCUUAGUUAAUAAGAAAGAAAGGGGAAGGGAAACAAACUUGGACAUAUGCUAGAUGAGUUAAGAAUCUAUGCAAUAUUAAGGAGUGAAUUUGACCAUUUAAAGGGUCCGAUUCAUUUCCGUUAGUGCUACUAUCAAAAAGGGAUUUGAAUAUAGUAUUAUAGUAUAUAGAAAUACUUAUUCAGCCAUCAAACAUUGACAUAUACAACACAAAUAUUUUAGAUUUCAUGAUCAAAUGCAAAAGUCGUUUAAGGUAAUAUCACACAGAGUUUAUAGACAUUAGUCAACCCUAAAUUCACAAAAUUAUGGAUUCUAAAACUAACAGCAAAGUUCUGCCAAAUAAAAAAACAGGUUUAAAACAUAAAUUUUGAACUCAAAGUUAAUUCUAUUUAGGAUGGACAUAGUUACAUAUCUUGAAAUUGAAAACACAAAUAGAGAAAUGACCAUAUAAAGGUCAAGGAGAAAAGAACCAAGAAGCUUCAGCAACCAAACACAUCAAUGAACAACAACCGAAUAGAUCCCAGAAGAAGAAUUUUCAGCUUCAAACUAUUUUUAACUGAUGAAAACCAGAAAUAUUCAAAGAAGUUCUUCAUUUUUUUCUAAAAAUCAAAGGAAAAUAAGACAACUGAACCUUUUUUAGAGUGUAUUUCUUAGGGUUUUUAAAUUUGCCCUCCUUUUUAUGUAUAAUAUCUCUACAUAAGCUACCUAGGAUAGGUAUUCUUUUGGAAUAUUCCUUAUCCUAUAGCAAAAUAUAGUAAUGUCUUUUUUUAUAGCCUUGAUAUAGUUAUCCCUUUUUAUCCUAUAUUUCAGCAUCUUUUCACAAUAAUUAAGAUAGAUUUACCCUUUCUAGAAAAUUCUUUUCCUUAGUUAUUUUAUGAAAACUUAUCCUAAAUUUUUUUAUUCAAUUAGGUCCCUAUAAGUCUUAGUGAUUUACAUACUAGGGAAAACAAGAAAUAAAAUCUAUCAAAAAAUCCAAAAAUGCAAAUUAAAAGAUGUCAACAGAAAUAAAAUACAAGAGAUGAUGCAAUUUAACUAAAAUUAACCUAAUUACUAACAAAAGGUGCUUUAUCUAAUUAACCACAGUACUCAAAUUAACAAUUAUCAGAAAAAUCAAAAAGAAAACCUAGAAGUUCAAGUAAUCAUGUAUAUCAAUCAAAACAGAUUGAUUAACUCAAUUAAUACGUGAAAUCUAAUUGCAGAACAUGGGAGAGGAACAUUUAAACAAAGCAAAGAUAGAAUAAAAUUCACCAAAAACCCUUAUUAGGACUAAACCUAUGAAAAAUUUAUAAUAGCAAGAUUCAGCAUACUUUAAAAACAAGUUGACAAUACCAAUCGAAGGGGAAAGUGUCACUAUCUAAAUCAUAUAAGCUAAAAGGAAGAAGCAAGUGGGUGAAAAAUUAGUAUUGAAAUAAGAACAGAAAGAAAGAAAACAAACAAAAAACCAAAAAAAUAAAAAAAAAGAAAAAAGAAAAAGAAUUACCUAAUGUUGUUCUGGACUGGGCCAGUUGAUGAACUAUCUUGAAUGAAACACUCGUGAACUUAUACAACCACUAAUUGGUUGUUCUUAACAAGAACAAUCGAUUAAUGGACGUUUGGGUUCACAAACCCCAAAUACUAACCGAGAAAAGAAUAAAGGAAAACUAGGAUUUUUCGGAAUCUUUGAUUUAAGAUUCGACAAGAUUAAGGGUAAUUCGAAGGGAACCAAAGAGAUAUUUGGGAAGAGGAGGAGGAGAAGGAGGUUGCAUGGUGUAGUUUUGGGUUGAUUUGGAGAAGUUAGGAUUUUUGGGCAUGAAACUCCAAUUUGAAAUUCAAGAUUUUUGGUGAUGAUUUGAAAUAAAUGAGUCAUAUUUGGAACAAGGAAAUAAUGGGGGUUCUGGGAUGUUAAAUUGGUGGUGUUUGGGGCACCGGAACUGGCGUGAGGCGAUUUUUGGUGGGUGGUUGAUGGCGGAGGCGGAGGAGGAAAUUGGGGUGGCAAAGGUUCUUAGGGUUUGGGUGUUAGAGAAGAAGUGAGAGGGAUUGAAAUUGGGGAGGAGGGAGGAGUUUUGGACAGUCAUAUAGUUAAUGAUCAACCAGUUCCCA
rnacentral:lncRNA from 1 species